UUAAGUUAUUAAGGGCGCACGGUGGAUGCCUUGGCACUAGAAGCCGAUGAAGGACGUUACUAACGACGAUAUGCUUUGGGGAGCUGUAAGUAAGCUUUGAUCCAGAGAUUUCCGAAUGGGGAAACCCAGCAUGAGUUAUGUCAUGUUAUCGAUAUGUGAAUACAUAGCAUAUCAGAAGGCACACCCGGAGAACUGAAACAUCUUAGUACCCGGAGGAAGAGAAAGAAAAUUCGAUUCCCUUAGUAGCGGCGAGCGAAACGGGAAGAGCCCAAACCAACAAGCUUGCUUGUUGGGGUUGUAGGACACUCUAUACGGAGUUACAAAGGACGACAUUAGACGAAUCAUCUGGAAAGAUGAAUCAAAGAAGGUAAUAAUCCUGUAGUCGAAAAUGUUGUCUCUCUUGAGUGGAUCCUGAGUACGACGGAGCACGUGAAAUUCCGUUGGAAUCUGGGAGGACCAUCUCCUAAGGCUAAAUACUCUCUAGUGACCGAUAGUGAACCAGUACCGUGAGGGAAAGGUGAAAAGCACCCCGGAAGGGGAGUGAAAUAGAACCUGAAACCGUGUGCUUACAAGUAGUCAGAGCCCGUUAAUGGGUGAUGGCGUGCCUUUUGUAGAAUGAACCGGCGAGUUACGAUUUGAUGCAAGGUUAAGCAGUAAAUGUGGAGCCGUAGCGAAAGCGAGUCUGAAUAGGGCGUUUAGUAUUUGGUCGUAGACCCGAAACCAGGUGAUCUACCCUUGGUCAGGUUGAAGUUCAGGUAACACUGAAUGGAGGACCGAACCGACUUACGUUGAAAAGUGAGCGGAUGAACUGAGGGUAGCGGAGAAAUUCCAAUCGAACCUGGAGAUAGCUGGUUCUCUCCGAAAUAGCUUUAGGGCUAGCCUCAAGUGAUGAUUAUUGGAGGUAGAGCACUGUUUGGACGAGGGGCCCCUCUCGGGUUACCGAAUUCAGACAAACUCCGAAUGCCAAUUAAUUUAACUUGGGAGUCAGAACAUGGGUGAUAAGGUCCGUGUUCGAAAGGGAAACAGCCCAGACCACCAGCUAAGGUCCCAAAAUAUAUGUUAAGUGGAAAAGGAUGUGGCGUUGCCCAGACAACUAGGAUGUUGGCUUAGAAGCAGCCAUCAUUUAAAGAGUGCGUAAUAGCUCACUAGUCGAGUGACACUGCGCCGAAAAUGUACCGGGGCUAAACAUAUUACCGAAGCUGUGGAUUGUCCUUUGGACAAUGGUAGGAGAGCGUUCUAAGGGCGUUGAAGCAUGAUCGUAAGGACAUGUGGAGCGCUUAGAAGUGAGAAUGCCGGUGUGAGUAGCGAAAGACGGGUGAGAAUCCCGUCCACCGAUUGACUAAGGUUUCCAGAGGAAGGCUCGUCCGCUCUGGGUUAGUCGGGUCCUAAGCUGAGGCCGACAGGCGUAGGCGAUGGAUAACAGGUUGAUAUUCCUGUACCACCUAUAAUCGUUUUAAUCGAUGGGGGGACGCAGUAGGAUAGGCGAAGCGUGCGAUUGGAUUGCACGUCUAAGCAGUAAGGCUGAGUAUUAGGCAAAUCCGGUACUCAUUAAGGCUGAGCUGUGAUGGGGAGAAGACAUUGUGUCUUCGAGUCGUUGAUUUCACACUGCCGAGAAAAGCCUCUAGAUAGAAAAUAGGUGCCCGUACCGCAAACCGACACAGGUAGUCAAGAUGAGAAUUCUAAGGUGAGCGAGCGAACUCUCGUUAAGGAACUCGGCAAAAUGACCCCGUAACUUCGGGAGGAGGGGUGCUCUUUAGGGUUAACGCCCAGAAGAGCCGCAGUGAAUAGGCCCAAGCGACUGUUUAUCAAAAACACAGGUCUCUGCUAAACCGUAAGGUGAUGUAUAGGGGCUGACGCCUGCCCGGUGCUGGAAGGUUAAGAGGAGUGGUUAGCUUCUGCGAAGCUACGAAUCGAAGCCCCAGUAAACGGCGGCCGUAACUAUAACGGUCCUAAGGUAGCGAAAUUCCUUGUCGGGUAAGUUCCGACCCGCACGAAAGGCGUAACGAUUUGGGCACUGUCUCAACGAGAGACUCGGUGAAAUCAUAGUACCUGUGAAGAUGCAGGUUACCCGCGACAGGACGGAAAGACCCCGUGGAGCUUUACUGUAGCCUGAUAUUGAAAUUCGGCACAGCUUGUACAGGAUAGGUAGGAGCCUUUGAAACGUGAGCGCUAGCUUACGUGGAGGCGCUGGUGGGAUACUACCCUAGCUGUGUUGGCUUUCUAACCCGCACCACUUAUCGUGGUGGGAGACAGUGUCAGGCGGGCAGUUUGACUGGGGCGGUCGCCUCCUAAAAGGUAACGGAGGCGCUCAAAGGUUCCCUCAGAAUGGUUGGAAAUCAUUCAUAGAGUGUAAAGGCAUAAGGGAGCUUGACUGCGAGACCUACAAGUCGAGCAGGGUCGAAAGACGGACUUAGUGAUCCGGUGGUUCCGUAUGGAAGGGCCAUCGCUCAACGGAUAAAAGCUACCCCGGGGAUAACAGGCUUAUCUCCCCCAAGAGUUCACAUCGACGGGGAGGUUUGGCACCUCGAUGUCGGCUCAUCGCAUCCUGGGGCUGUAGUCGGUCCCAAGGGUUGGGCUGUUCGCCCAUUAAAGCGGUACGCGAGCUGGGUUCAGAACGUCGUGAGACAGUUCGGUCCCUAUCCGUCGUGGGCGUAGGAAAUUUGAGAGGAGCUGUCCUUAGUACGAGAGGACCGGGAUGGACAUACCUCUGGUGUACCAGUUGUCGUGCCAACGGCAUAGCUGGGUAGCUAUGUGUGGACGGGAUAAGUGCUGAAAGCAUCUAAGCAUGAAGCCCCCCUCAAGAUGAGAUUUCCCAACUUCGGUUAUAAGAUCCCUCAAAGAUGAUGAGGUUAAUAGGUUCGAGGUGGAAGCAUGGUGACAUGUGGAGCUGACGAAUACUAAUCGAUCGAAGACUUAAUCAA
rnacentral:rRNA from 1 species